AGUGUCUAUAAUAAUUUUCCAUCUUUCUGUCCAUGUGUACCAAAUGUUCGCCUCCCACUUAUAAGUGAGAACAGCUUUCUGUUUCUGAGUUAGUUCACUUAGGAUAAUGGCCUCCAGCUCCAUCCAUGUUGCUGCAAAGGACAUGGUUUCAUUCAUUUUUAUGCCAGCCAGCCCUUCUUGCAUUCACAAUCAUCUUCCUAAAAGAAAGGUUCCUUUAAAAAAAAAAAAUCACCCUUCCAUGUAUAAACCACAUGCUCAAAACGACACAUCCGUGUCUCUCUUAUGCUGUUUUCCUGGCCUGUAAUGUCCUUUUCCCAAUGGAAUGUCCCGAGUCCACAGCAGCGUUAUGGAGAGGCGAUGGAUUCCACACUUGAGACCCGGGCUCCCUUCCUCACCAGCUACAUGACCUUGGUUAACUCAUUUGACCUUUCCUCACUUCUAAAGUAGGGGCUAUAUACUAACCAUUGCCGACCUCAAGCACUAUAGAAAGGCACUAAAUGGGUUAAUGCAUGUAAAACCCUUGUCAAAUUCAAAGCUCCGAACAAAUGCUACAUGUUAUUACUACGCAUCCUUCAAUGCCCAAUUCAAAUGCUACCACCUUUAUAGUCCCCCCCAGCCCCCACCCCAUCGAUCAUCCCUUCCUCUGUGCAUAAUAACUUGCUUCUGUUUUCAUGUAUUUAAUUUGCUGUGUUAUUAUUGUAAAGUCAUUCGCUUAUUUAUUCAUUCAUUCUUUUAUUUCAUAAAUAUUUAUUGAGCUCUCCCUCUGUACGAGACACUUGCUUUCUCCCUCCCUGCAUUUAUAAACUGUCUGGGCAGAGACUGUCUUGUUCUUAUUUGUGUCCACGAGAGCGUGUAGCUCAUUAUCUUGCACCCUCUAAGGGCUCAGUGAUGGUUUUUUUUCAGGGAUGACAUGUGAACUGUGCCUUCGAGGUUGGGAGGAUUUAGAUUAGUAUGGGUGGGUAUUCCCGGGAGAUAGGGUACAAGCCCUGCUUCCUUCCAGAUUGGUAAUUCCAUCAUGGCUGGACAUUAGAAUCAUCUUGGGGAGCUUUAAAAGUCAUGGGCGGCAGGAGAGACAGCUCAUGCCUGUAAUUCCAGUGCUUUUGGAGGCUGAGGCAAGAGGAUCACUUAAGCCCAGGAGUUUGAGACCAGCCUGGGUAACAUAGCAAGACUCUGUCUCUACAAAAAAAUUUUAAAAAUUAGGCAGGUAAGGUAUGGUGGUACACACCUGUAGUCCCAGCUAUGCAGGAGGCUAAGGUAGAAGAUCACUUGAGCCCAGGGGCUGAAGGCUGCAGCGAGCAAAAAAAGACAAGGGGCUGCUUGAGUACCCCCACCCCCAGCCCAUUGAAUUCUGUUUAAACCACCCCCUCCCUCCAGUAAUUCUAAUGUGCACCUGGGUUUGCUAGCCACAGCUCAAAGACAAUUUUAUUAAUUGGUGACUGGCACUGGCACACCUAGAGAUUAUCUUUAGUUCACUGGCCCAUCAUGGGGAUGACUCUGGGGAUAACAAAUCCUACUUAGUUUCCCCAUGCCUGAAUCUUGGGAGGCCGACCUACCCUUUCCUCUCACUCAGCUAUUCCUGGUGAGCGGUCUUUGAUAGUCAUUUGUGUUUUUCAUGACUUGACAAAGGCCAGGUCAGACACGCCACCAAUAUGUUUCUAGUUUAUUGAUCCAAGACCCCAUUAUUUCAUUGAAGGAAGCGGUGGGUGGGCCAGACAGACAUGGCCAUGCCGGGACUGCACGUUCUCCUGUUUGUCACCUUUCUAGAACCUCUCUCUCUGCUCCAUGGAUUGAAAAACAAAAAGGGACCAGGUGCAGCGGCUCACACCUAUAAUCCCAGCACUUUGGGAGGCCGAGGCAGGUGGAUCGCCUGAGGUCAGUAGUUUGAGACCAGCCUGGCCAACAUGGUGAAACCCCGUCUCUACUAAAAAUACAAAAAUUAGCCGGGCAUGGUGAUGGGUGCUUGUAAUCCCAGCUACUCAGGAGGCUGAGGCAGGAAAAUCGCUUGAACCUAGGAGGCGGAGGUUGCAGUGAGCCCAGAUCACAGCACUUCACUCCAGCCUGGGCGAAAGAGCGAAACUCCCAUCUCAAAAAAAAAAAAAAAAAAAAAAAAAAAAAAAAAAAGAGAGAGAGAAAGAAAGAAAAAGAAAAAAAGAACAGAUCUAUUCACCAAAGAGCUAAAGAAACCUUCAGAGAGUCUUCCCCGUUCCCCACUUUUCCACUUCAUCUCACUGUUCCUAGAGCUCUAAUUGAAUUUUUACACUUCAUUUAUGUGUUUUUAGUCCAUGCAUUCUUGUGUUUUCUUUCUUUCCUCCCCUUGAAGAGCUUCCCCUCCAGGUCGGCCACCUGUGAUUACGCCUCCCAUGCAGACGUGCAGAGCGACAUUUAAUAACAGGGGCGCUUUCCUGACAGCUGUUUUGAUAAUGGUGGCGGGGAAGUUUCUUUCAUGGGUGCACUUGGCAGAGAAAGCCUCGCCUGGUAUCACAGUCUGAGAUGUUCCGGGAUCCACCUGUAAUUAUACCUUCUCAACCUCACCUAUCCACUUCCUUUUCAGAGGAGAACUAUACUGAGUGGCACUCACCUCCCAAGUAGAAGAGGUGCUGACUUUUCAAGCAGAUCAAGGCAGAUUUGGGGGUUAGGAAAUUAGUAUUUCAUUCUUCACCUGCCCUGCGGGUGCCGUCACUACCAGAGAAAGACUGCUGGCUGGAAUUGGAAAGAUCAUCCCCACAGGGGGUAACAACAAUACCAUCGCCUUUACCUUGAUGGGGGGCUUGUUUCCAAAAGAAAUUAUGCCUCCAUUAAGGGCCAUUUUAGACCAUUAGUGAUGUGUUUGCAUUUCCACAAGAAUGUUUACCUUUCCCCGCAGGGAACCGAGGUCAGUCCGUGCUGUUCACGAGUUAGUAACUGUGAUCAAAGCUCUCUGCUUUAGCUCAAGGAACCAACCCUCAGGUUUGGGAGUUGAAUUUCGACUCACUAAUUGGCUCUGCAGGUGCCUUUGUUUUUCAUUUCCACUCCCUAAGUGCCCUUGUCAGU
rnacentral:lncRNA from 1 species